UAUUCCGAGCUGGGCUCAUCGGUUUCAGCCCUACGGCCGUGCCCGGAUCCGUACUCCGAGCUGGGUUUCUCGUACUCACUCUUCCGACCAUACCCGGAUCCGUACUCCGAACUGGGUUCCUGACCGUACCCAGAUCCAUAUUCACUAGGUCUCUCAUACUCAGGCUUCCGACCAUACCCGGAUCCGUACUCCGAAGGCGGUUCUUCCGGCUCCGUCCUCCGGCCAUACCCAGAUCCAUAUUCACUAGGUCUCUCAUACUCAGGCUUCCGACCAUACCCGGAUCCGUACUCCGAAGGCGGUUCUUCCGGCUCCGUCCUCCGGCCAUACCCAGAUCCAUAUUCACUAGGUCUCUCAUACUCAGGCUUCCGACCAUACUCGGAUCCGUACUCCGAGGGCGGUUCUUCCGGCUCCGUCCUCCGGCCAUACCCAGAUCCAUAUUCACUAGGUCUCUCAUACUCAGGCUUCCGACCAGAUCCGUACUCCGAGGGCGGUUCUUCUGGCUCCGUCCUCCGGCCAUACCCAGAUCCAUAAUCCGGCCCCGACCCACUAAACUCGUCUUCUCCGCCGAUCCCACCACCAUGGCCAGGGCGGUUCAUCCCGGGCUGGAAACCGUAAUUGGCCUGAGGCCGAUCGAAGGCUUCCUCGCCGCCGCCGCCGCCGUAGGAGAGGCCGGGGCGGGGCUUGGGGCGGGCGUAGCUCUU
rnacentral:lncRNA from 1 species